CUUUCCUCCCCACUUUUCCCAGGCUUAGCUUCACUCCUUCAUCCACGACUCCUCAACCUCUUCCCCCUCAAGCAGUGCAGAAGGAGGGGUCAGUCCAUAACAGCCCCUCUCCAGCACUUUUUCCUCCUCACACUUCUUACUGCUCCAGUGUGGGUCAGUCCUGUGGGUUGCAGUUAGUCCUUCAGGAUUAACCUGCUCCAGCAUGGGGUCAUCCAGAGAUGGCAGUGAGGUUAUCUGCUCUGCCAAGGAGCCCCUCUUUUGACCUUAGUGUUCCCACUGCUCUUUCUCACUGUUUUUUGUUCCCUCUUCCUCCCCCUGUGCAGUGUUUUUUUUACCCUCCCUCCCCCAUGCUCUCCCCAGGUGUCCCAGGGUGGCUGCUGGGCCCGGCCCUGCCAUGCACCAGGCCCGGCCCUUGGAGCGGCUGGAACGGGCUGUGUCUGGCACGUGGCAGCCCUGCCUCACCUCAGGCUGCAGCCUCCCAAGUGCCAACACCUGGAUGGAUAGCUGGGAUGCGAGAUAGGAGAUUAUCCAUCACCUUUCAUGGCAGAGCCAGAGGAAAAGCUGUGGGCCACAACUGGAAGUAAAGAACAAUAUAGAAGGAAGCAGUGACAACUGUAUUUGGAUAGCUGUUAGAUUUCCUCGGUGAAUCCUGUGAUAGGACAUAGCUAAGACAGUUCUAGGAUGUAAGAAAGGUGAUGGCUCUCUAUUCCAUUUGUUAUUUGCCUCCAAUAACCUUUCUGUCAUAUUUUCUGAAACUCCUUGCCAACCUGCAAGGACACAUUAAGGCAUUAAAGGAGAAGAUCUUUGAGGAAUCUGGAAUUUUAUUGAUUUCGGUGCAUAAAUAAUAGGAGUUUACAGGAAACAUUGAAAUCCUAUCAGGAGCAUGGUCUGCUAAACAAAGAUAGAAACAAAUAUGAAUUGUGGAAUUUUUACUAGUAAGCAUUCUACUAAGGAGAGAGUGCCCGUCUUCCAAGGAGACUUCUUAAAUUUAUUUUGGCACAUUUGACAUCCAUCCUGAAUGCUGUAGAUUGUUGUUUUUUUGUUUGUUUGUUUGUUUGUUGUAUUUAUUUGGUUGAUCUUUUUUAAUGUGUAGGAUUUGCUGUGUCAGCAAUCCAACAGCCAAGCCUGGCUUCCAUAUCUGAAUACAGCUAUCUUGAAGAAGCAAGGUCUCCUGAAGACUGAUGUAUUUUAAGAGAGAAAAAAAUAUUUCUUAAAGGAAAGAAAAAAACAAACCACUUAUCAUUUUUCCACUGAAUAAAGCUGUCAGAAUGUAGUCCUCUUGUCUGACUUCAUCCCUCCUCAGCUGAAAUGUCUUUAAAAUUUAUUCCAGAAACUAUC